rnacentral:rRNA from 1 species
GCUGGCGGCGUGGAUAAGACAUGCAAGUCGAGCGAGAUUUUUCGUUGUAGCAAUACGAUGAAAAGUCUAGCGGCGAACGGGUGCUUAACACGUGGGCAACCUGCCAUGAAGUGGGGGAUAGCUCGCCGAAAGGCGAAUUAAUACCGCAUGUGAUUAGAGAGGACAUCCUUUCGAAAUUAAAGUCGGGGCAACCUGACGCUUCUUGUGGGGCCCGCGGCCUAUCAGCUAGUUGGUGAGGUAACGGCUCACCAAGGCUUUGACGGGUAGCUGGUCUGAGAGGACGACCAGCCACACUGGGACUGAGACACGGCCCAGACACCUACGGGUGGCAGCAGUCGAGAAUUUUUGACAAUGGGGGAAACCCUGAUCGAGCGACGCCGCGUGGAGGAUGAAGGUCUUCGGAUUGUAAACUCCUGUCAUUGGGGAACAAGGUGCAUACGUUAACUGCGUGUGUAUUGAUAGU